rnacentral:rRNA from 1 species
GAUGAACGCUGGCGGCGUGCCUAAUACAUGCAAGUCGAGCGAACGGACGAGAAGCUUGCUUCUCUGAUGUUAGCGGCGGACGGGUGAGUAACACGUGGAUAACCUACCUAUAAGACUGGGAUAACUUCGGGAAACCGGAGCUAAUACCGGAUAAUAUUUUGAACCGCAUGGUUCAAAAGUGAAAGACGGUCUUGCUGUCACUUAUAGAUGGAUCCGGGCUGCAUUAGCUAGUUGGUAAGGUAACGGCUUACCAAGGCAACGAUGCAUAGCCGACCUGAGAGGGUGAUCGGCCACACGGGAACUGAGACACGGUCCAGGCUCCUACGGGAGGCAGCAGUAGGGAAUCUUCCGCAAUGGGCGAAAGCCUGACGGAGCAACGCCGCGUGAGUGAUGAAGGUCUUCGGAUCGUAAAACUCUGUUAUUAGGGAAGAACAUAUGUGUAAGUAACUGUGCACAUCUUGACGGUACCUAAUCAGAAAGCCACGGCUAACUACGUG